CGGAGUUGUGGAACGUGUUGGGAAUCUCCCGGCGGUGGGUAGUGCUGUGCUGUGAUAUACGCCUGUAAAUACUUCUAAAGGACAUCUAGUUGCUUUGUCCCAUAUUCCAAUAUUACAUACAGAUUCCUCAACAACUGCCAUUUCUACAUUUUGGUAUGACUUUUCUUGGUGCGUGUUGGCGACUCUAGCAAAACCACAGAGGCAAACGAACACAAUCACCAUGGAAACAGAUUCCACCAGCUGCAGGUAGGCGUACCACAUCUGACUGUAGUGCUGCAGAAGAUGACGCAGUAUUGGAGGGUUCGCCAGAGAUCCGCCUGAUGCUCCCAGCAUUAUUAAUGAAAGCAGUUUGCUAGAGAAUUUGAAGAGAUCAUUGUCGGUUCACACCACACCUGCGGGGUAUAUUGGCGCCAUGGUGAGGCCACAUAGGGUGGGCCAUGAACAGGACACAAACUGGGAAGCAGCGCAUAGACGUCACCAGGCUGGAAUAACAGAUGCCCAAAAUGGUUACCGGGGAAACGAAAUCAGAGACCAAAAUACCGAGGAAUCACCCGAUAGCAAAUGCUGCCCACAAGACAGAUGUCAAAACGGAAGCCGCAGAUUUCGCCCAACCGAGCCUGCGCACUGUAAACGCUAACAAGAAAUUGCUGAAGGUUGUUUCUACGGCGACGUAAAGAGUGUAUAUUAAUAUAACUAGCACCAAAAUGAAGGUAAAUUGUAGCAUGGAUCGUCCGUGUCUGUUCGCUUCGAUUCUGUUUAUUAUGACGUCGUUGUUUAUGAUGAUGGUGAUGAUGUCGCUCAUCGUCUUUUGACGUACACAAGUGAACGAUGAACGGUAUGGAUGGACGAAUACACAAUGUUCCGCUGAUUAUGUAAGCUAUGUAAAAUCUCGACUCUUCAGAAUUAGGAAGUGGACCGGGCAUAUCAUUAUGUACGUCCGUAACGCCACUUUGUGCGACCGUUACGCCACUCUAACGUGUUUAACAACCGAGUUUGCUCCUACUUCACCGAUUAACAGAUCUGUUGUUGUGUUCGUGUGUUUAAUGAAUUCACCCAGAGUCAUAUUGCAAGCAAAUGGCAGAAUAUCAGUCGCAUUGCUUGACAAAGUGAUGUACAGCCUGCAUUUACGAUGAUCCACUCGCUCCCCAUAGGUCCAGAA